UCGGGAAUUUUGGGCAAUGGGGGAAACCCUGACCCAGCAACGCCGCGUGAAGGAUGAAGUAUUUCGGUAUGUAAACUUCGAAAGAAUAGGAAGAAUAAAUGACGGUACUAUUUAUAAGGUCCGGCUAACUACGUGCCAGCAGCCGCGGUAAUACGUAGGGACCAAGCGUUGUUCGGAUUUACUGGGCGUAAAGGGCGCGUAGGCGGCAUGACAAGUCACUUGUGAAAUCUCUGGGCUUAACCCAGAACGGCCAAGUGAUACUGUCGCGCUAGAGUGCAGAAGGGGCAAUCGGAAUUCUUGGUGUAGCGGUGAAAUGCGUAGAUAUCAAGAGGAACACCUGAGGUGAAGACGGGUUGCUGGGCUGACACUGACGCUGAGGCGCGAAAGCCAGGGGAGCAAACGGGAUUAGAUACCCGUGUAGUCCCUGAGCGGGC
rnacentral:rRNA from 1 species